rnacentral:rRNA from 1 species
UACGAAGGGGGCUAGCGUUGUUCGGAUUUACUGGGCGUAAAGCGCACGUAGGCGGAUCGUUAAGUCGGGGGUGAAAUCCUGGAGCUCAACUCCAGAACUGCCUUUGAUACUGAGGAUCUUGAGUUCGGGAGAGGUGAGUGGAACUGCGAGUGUAGAGGUGAAAUUCGUAGAUAUUCGCAAGAACACCAGUGGCGAAGGCGGCUCACUGGCCCGAUACUGACGCUGAGGCACGAAAGCGUGGGGAGCAAACAGG